UACGGAGGGAGCUAGCGUUGUUCGGAAUUACUGGGCGUAAAGCGCACGUAGGCGGCUUUGUAAGUUAGAGGUGAAAGUCCAGGGCUCAACCCUGGAAAGCGGGUGGAUACUGCCGGGCUAGAAUCCGGAAGAGGCGAGUGGAAUUCCUGGUGUAGCGGUGGAAUGCGCAGAUAUCAGGAGGAACACCAAUAGCGAAGGCAGCUCGCUGGGACGGUAUUGACGCUAAGGCGCGAAAGCGUGGGGAGCAAACAGG
rnacentral:rRNA from 1 species